AACGAACGCUGGCGGCAUGCCUAACACAUGCAAGUCGAACGGGAUCCACCUUUCGGGGUGGUGAGAGUGGCGGACGGGUGAGUAACACGUGGGAACCUGCCUUUUGGUUCGGGAUAACCGCGGGAAACUGCGGCUAAUACCGGAUGUACCCGCGAGGGGAAAGAUUUAUCGCCAGAAGAGGGGCCCGCGUCCGAUUAGGUAGUUGGUAGGGUAAAGGCCUACCAAGCCGACGAUCGGUAGCUGGUCUGAGAGGACGAUCAGCCACACUGGGACUGAGAUACGGCCCAGACUCCUACGGGAGGCAGCAGUGGGAAUAUUGGACAAUGGGGCAACCCUGAUCCAGCAAUGCCGCGUGAGUGAUGAAGGCCUUAGGGUUGUAAAGCUCUUUUGCCAGGGAAGAUGAUGACGGUACCUGGAGAAUAAGCCCCGGCUAACUUCGUGCCAGCAGCCGCGGUAAUACGAAGGGGCUAGCGUUGUUCGGAAUUACUGGGCGUAAAGGGCGCGUAGGCGGCCAUUUAAGUUAGGUGUGAAAGUCCUGGGCUCAACCUGGGGACUGCACUUAAUACUGGGUGGCUUGAAUUCGGGAGAGGAUAGCGGAAUUCCCAGUGUAGAGGUGAAAUUCGUAGAUAUUGGGAAGAACACCGGUGGCGAAGGCGGCUAUCUGGACCGACAUUGACGCUGAGGCGCGAAAGCGUGGGG
rnacentral:rRNA from 1 species